rnacentral:misc_RNA from 1 species
UUUCGUUUCCUAUAUUUUUGAAAACGCAGUUUCCUAGUAUCCGUUUCCGCAUUUACCCGUGUCCGCGUUUCCCUUUCCGUGCUACAUAGCAUCAGACUCUAGUCAUCAAAACUUUUUUGCUUCACUAUGCAUGUCAUUGUCAGCUUGUUUACACAGAAAGACAUGGAGGAAAGAGUUGAUGUCACUCAAUCAUGAUCAAACUAACAGCAAUCAUAAUCAAAGCCCCAUCAUAGACCACAAGAACGGUACCAACCACACAGAUACACAUCCAUAGCAACAAUUAGAUAUACACUUCUAUGG